rnacentral:rRNA from 1 species
CUGGUCUGAGAGGAUGAUCAACCUCAUCGGGACUGAGACACGGCCCGAACUCCUACGGGAGGCAGCAGUGGGGAAUAUUGGACAAUGGGGGCAACCCUGAUCCAGCCAUGCCGCGUGUGUGAAGAAGGCCCUCGGGUUGUAAAGCACUUUCAGCGAGGAAGAACGCCUGUCGGUUAAUACCCGGCAGGAAAGACAUCACUCGCAAAAGAAGCACCGGCUAACUCCGUGCCAGCAGCCGCGGUAAUACGGAGGGUGCAAGCGUUAAUCGGAAUUACUGGGCGUAAAGCGCGCGUAGGUGGCUUGAUAAGCCGGUUGUGAAAUCCCCGGGCUCAACCUGGGAACGGCAUCCGGAACUAUUAGGCUAGAGUGCAGGAGAGGAAGGUAGAAUUCCCGGUGUAGCGGUGAAAUGCGUAGAGAUCGGGAGGAAUACCAGUGGCGAAGGCGGCCUUCUGGACUGACACUGACACUGAGGUGCGAAAGCGUGGGUAGCAAACAGGAUUAGAUACCCUGGUAGUCCACGCCGUAAACGAUGUCGACCAGCCGUUGGGUGCCUAGCGCACUUUGUGGCGAAGUUAACGCGAUAAGUCGACCGCCUGGUGAGUACGGCCGCAAGGUUAAAACUCAAAUGAAUUGACGGGGGCCCGCACAAGCGGUGGAGCAUGUGGUUUAAUUCGAUGCAAUCGCGAAGAACCUUACCUACCCUUGACAUCCUGGCGAACUUUGU